UUCCUCUCCCAGCUCCAUCUCAGAGCCUGCUAAACGCUCCUCCUGGCUUCACUGAGACUCUCCUUACAGUGCUUCCAAAAAUCUCGAUGAGCCUUUGCAUUUUAAGCAGACGCGAUUAUAUCAGAUCUCCCCGUCUUCCAGCGGCUCAGCUCUACCCAAGUUUGAUGAACUGAUCUCAGUUAGAGAAAUCCCAUCAGCUGUCGGCUUUGCUGAGACUCGGGCAAUGACAUCUCCCCGGUUUGCUCAGGUUUGAUGCGAAGGAGCCGCUCCUGCCACAAACCUUCAAGGCCAGCUGGCCGGAACAGGUCUUUCAUCGGCCAUCGUCGUCCCUGGAACCCAGAACCGGGGGCACGGAGAAAGCAAAACAACCGGGAUAGAUGUGGCUUGGAAGGGUACAAAACAAAAAACGGAAAGAGCGGACCUGACUUGCUGAAGCUCACACAACCAGCAACUGAGCCAGGAUUCGAACCUCUUUCAUUCGGACUCCCUGACCUGCUUUUUUUCUGCUCUGUUCCACUUUUCUCACAAAUCAUCUUCCUCGUGAACUCCUAUUCAUCCUUCAAAACCCAAUGUAAACGUGUUCUCUCUUAUGUGAAGCCUGCCCCCCUCAUUCUCUCCAUCCACCUCACCCAGGCAAGGUUAGUCAUUAUUAGAAUUCUAAAUGAAGUUCUUUUUUUUUUUUUUUUUAACGUUUAUUUCUUUUUGAGAGACAGAGCGCAAGCAGG